UAGACAAAAUACCUGCACAAUCCAAACUGCAAAAAGACCCACAAAACGUCAACAGCUAAACGCUACUUAAUGUACUCCCGAAGUGCAAGGAUAUGUUAGAAAACAAAAGUAUCAUCCUGCAGAUUGUGGAUGAAACUGUUGAACAUGAAAUAAAGAAUCUAAUUAUGUACCUGUAAUAUGAACAUUCAGCUUAUUGAAUAGCUUACUUGCAGGAAUUCUCUUAAAAUUAAAGUUCACAUUUUAAGACACACAUUAGAGACUGCAAAAAAAUGCAGCAAGGCUUCCACAGUUCAAAGUUUUAAACGAGAAGGGUAAUGAAAUUUGCUUCCAUCAACAUAUGGAUAGAGAAGCCUGAUCUCCAGGUUUCUAAAUGAGGUGGAAUUCAUAUGAAAUGACUGAAACCAGGUUCAAAUUAAAUCCAACAGAAGCUGACCAAGAAGGCUUAUUUUCAAUAAAUGCAUUGUAUGAGGAAGGUGAAACAGUUGAUGGCAUUCAGGUAGGAAACACAUAAAGCCAGACAGUAAGUAGUGCAUUCCAAGAAACAAACAAAAAUAAAAAGCAACAGGUUUUGGACAAGCAUAAUCAAUCUACUGUUUUUCAGAAGAUUAGCUGGCCUGGAAUCUUACUCACUGAAAUCAACAACAAAGUCAUAACAACUUUGGUUAGAGCAGAGUAUCAAAGCCAGAUUCUGUUCCAGAUCAGAAAUGUACCUACUCAAAGUUAUAUUUUUAUUGCGGUAGAAAUACAGAACAUAAUAAAAAUGGGUUUUUUAGACCCCAGCUUAAGUCAGGGAAAAAUUUUAGACCCAAGUUUGGCUGUAGCUACUGCGAGAACUGAAAGAAAUAAGACCACAGAAAUCUUCCAAGAAAAAGAGAAAGAAGAUACAAGGAAAAAAGCAGCUACAUUUCCUCCAGACUUUCUUCAUGACUGCAAGAAAUCUAGUGGCUGCUAGUAUUGCUAUCUGGCUCAAUCAUCUCAAUUUUGUAAGAUAUCUGCUGCAGUAACAGGUGGUGGAGUAACGCUUUUGCUCUCAAAUGUUUCCCUGCGACCCUCAGACGAGGACUCUUUCAAAGACCUGACGGCAAGUUAGGUAAGACAAUGCACUUAUUUGAACAGUGCAGAAAUCUGUGCAAGUAUUGUACAUCCAACGUUUAAAAUGAAUGGCUAGAAUCUUUGCUGGAAAAGCAAAUCUUAAGCAGAACUUAACGCUACCAAGACCCACCAUACCAUAACUAGCAACACCCUCUACUGGGUUUAAAAAAAGGUGAAUCCAACAGGCAUUGGGAGCUGCAAAGUGCAAAGGAUGCAACAAAUCUACAAAUCAUGGCGCUGGAACACCUUACCAGCAAGUGAGCUACCUGGAACACUUGGAGCAACUAGAAAAUAGUGUUUUCCAGAGACUGGUAGGAACUGAAAAGACUUCUUAGCACACAGCAAAAUACUGAGCUGCAUGCUAGAAUCCCAGAGGUUCCUCAGUGAGUUUGCCAUUAUUAUUAUCAAUCAGCAGUAAGAAAAAUAAUACCUUACAGAGGUCAUUUUUCUAUGGCAUAAGCUUUAGAAAGAUUCAAAAUACUCAGGAGAUAAACACAAUUAAUAUAAAGCAGUUGUUUAAAUUGAGAUUAUUUAAUUUUAAAUAUUGUAUUUAUGUCAAUAAAAAUGAAAGCGUAAAACA
rnacentral:lncRNA from 1 species